GAGGCCCAAUAUACUCCCUUCCCCAUCGUGAUUUCCUCUUCUAAAAUCCCUAAAUUGCAAAAACUGUACAACAGCUUCUUCUUCCUCUCUUCCCUUGGUGAAAUCGCCACUCCGACGAUUCCACGCCGGUCGCCGGAGAAUCCACGCACGGAGUAACCUUUCUUUUUCACGGAUCGGGUUUCCCUUCGACUCAUCCAUACUCUCUUUCAUCUUCGGCGAACUCGCCGCGGAGUUUCCGCCGUCGCCGCACGGCUGAGGCCUCGCCGCUCCCCGACGCGGUGGAACAGCCGCUGCUGUCCCGGUUAGGGAGAAGGCGUCGCCUUUCCCUUCCUCCGGUUCCUCUAUCUCUUGCGAAAUCGUCGCCGUCUCCGGAGGAAAUAGUCACCGCCGUGGUUGUACUCCGUCGUUGGAGGUGUUACCGUGCGCGGCAGCCCCUUUCUCGGCCUCUACAGGCUCGCCAAUCGCUGCCCGUCUCGCCAUCCGGCUCUCCGUCAAGCUGCAGCUUCGCCUGCGGCAAAACUCCACUGCUACUCGUCGCCUUCCAUCGACGUCACGGAGGAACUCUCCGCCUCCCGUCGCACCACCGCCGGACAAUCUCUCUAUAAGCUAAGUUUUCUGCCUUCUUUUGCUUAGCUCAAUUCGUGGGUUUAUUUAGCAACCUAUGUAAAUUCGAUUCUUGACUAUUGGUGAUGUUCAAGCUUUGAUCUUGUGAGAGUUUGAUUAUUGAGUCCAUUAAUUGGGUUUGUGGCAGAAGCUUUAUGUUGUGAUUCUUGGCAGAAAAAAAAAAUGCUUAGUCUUGUGGAAAUUCCUAUAGCAAGUCUAAGUUCUUGCAUUUGAUUACUGUGGUGAAAACUUGGUUGUUGAGCAAAGGUGUUGUUGUUCUAUGCUUAUACUAAAUCUUUUAUUAGUUAACAGCCGCGGGGGGAGAAGGGUUGGAGGUGGAAUACCUCUUGAAGCUGCGGCUGCCUUGAGAAUUCAGCUCUUAAACCUCAGCUUUCUUCCUCUCAAACUUGCUAUGUUGCUGGAAAAUUUGAAGUUGUGUAGGAGAGUGUUCAAAGGUGGCGUGGACGGGGUUUUUAUAGGUUGAUCUUGGUGUACUAUGGGGAAUUAAAUGGCUGUUGCUGCAGUUUUGGUUUUACAUAACAGCAAGAUCUCUUAUGAUUCAUUUUUGUAGCAUUCUAAUUCAAGUUGUUUUGGUUUCAUUUGAUGGUACUUGGUACUUAGCCAUUAAAUUCUUUGUUUGUUCUUGCAUGAGAUGCCAAGAGAAUGCAGGAGGCUGCCUUGAGAGGAGGAGGAAAGCUGGCUUUGACUUGCCCUAAAUGUCUUGUAGGUGAGAAAGGAAGGUGUGGCUGUUGUGUUGUUCUCAGGCUCGGCCCGCUCCCUUCGGCCCGACGGACUGCUCAAAGAUGGGCUAUAGUUCGGGCCUGGAGAAGAGGCCCGAAGUGCAUCAAAAAUUUAUCCUUAGUUUUCUUUCUUUGAAGCCUUUGAUCCUCGUAAACUUUUGAAGUUAGUUAAUAGUUUAUUGGAUAUGUAAAGCUAUUCGAAAAUUCUUUAUAUUCCAUAAUGUAUUUUAGUUUGUUUUA